AGGUAGAGGGGAAUAGUCGUUGAGUAACGGAUCGGCUUCGGCAGAGUUUGGUUGUUCAAAAGUUUUUGUUGUUAGUUACUCGUGAAUAUGUCUACAAAUUGUUUCUUGUGAUCGCGUCCAGUGGAUUUCUAGUUGUCGAAAUGUAUUUUCGUCGGGCUUCCGCCAAUUUAUACGUGUUUAUCAAACAAAGUUUCCGUGAAGCUUUGUCAAGUCUCAGGUAACCCAACUACAGGUGUGUUUUGUUGAAGGCCCAGGUGCUUAUGAUGUGUGCUUUUACAAGUGUUUCAUCGAUCAAGCUUUUGCUUGGUGUGAGUGCAGUAAAUUAUCGUGUUUUAUGAGAUUGUUAUUCAUGAGUUUCUCACAUAGAAACCACUCAAGUUCUUAAAUUUAUCAACUAAGUUCGGUUCUCGAAAAAUCAACGACACCAAGUUCACAAUGGUAACCUGUGCUUGUCGAAAGUUCAAAAGUUCUUCGAAGAGUAGAACCCGUAUGAAAAUCAUGGAUUUAACUGAGAGGAUUUGCAGUUUUAGGACUGGAUAUUUAUUACGGAGAACGAUUUUUCAGCCGAAGCUUCUAUUUCUUUUGUGUCUGUCGUCAGUUGUUCCUUUCACUCGAACAGAAUCGCUGCAAGCGCCUCGCUUCAUCACGCAACCCAGCUCGUCCACGAAUAUUGUCAGCGAAGGACGGACAAAAAUUCUACAGUGCCAAGCCUUAGGUUACCCUCAGCCGCAGUACAGGUGGAUAAAGGACGGCGUGGAGUUGGGUGAUUUUAGUUCCGAACACUUUUAUAAAAUUUUGAACACCAAAAGAGAAGAUGGCGGAAGUUAUCAAUGUAUCGCCAAUAACGAAGUGGGAUCGAUACUUAGCGAAAAAAUUGAUGUUACUGUUGCAUAUAUGGGUGUUUUCGAGGAUCAAACAGAGCAAAGCAUUACAGUGGAAUGGGGGCAGCCGGCAGUUUUGGAGCUUCCACUCAUCCAAAGUCAUCCGGAGCCUCUUGUCUUUUGGCAAGCAGACGACGGCACUUCACUCUACGAUCGAAAGUAUGCUGACACUGCAAAACACCAACUGGUCAUACUGGCCGCUAAUGAGAAUGACCAGAAAGCGUACAGGGCACGAGCAACGAACACACAGCUGGGCAAAGAGGAGAACAGUCCCUACAUUCGACUGGUUGUGAAAGGAUCGGAGACCGGCCAGGAGAUCGCCCCUCAAAUUGUUGUCAAACCUUUCGACAUGAACAUCAUCAAGGGUCAACUUGUCACUGAUUUGCAGUGCAUUGUUAACGCUUGGCCCCUCCACGAGCUGGAAACUCUGUGGCUGAAAGACGGCAUCCCAAUAGAGAACACAGGCGUGAAUCACAACCUGAAAUACCCGUGGAACAGCACUCUGUCCCUGCUCAAUGCCAACCUGACGCAUACGGGCCGUUAUAGGUGUCAGGCCAGGCUGCGGACGGGUGGAUUUCCCACUGUCACCGCAGAUGCCAAUGUCGUUGUGCUUGAGAGUCCCUCGUUUGUGACAAUUCUUCGUCCUGAAACGCUGGUCGAGUAUGGAGCUCUAGUCAAACUGCCUUGUGAAGCUAUAGGCGUGCCCGCUCCUAAUAUAACAUGGCUCAGAAACACCUACGAUGUCACACUAAUGCCGAAUAGCGACAGGUAUCAAAUUGAGGAAGACGGUACUUUGAUCAUAAAAAAGCUGAAAAUGGAUGAUACUGGUAUGUUUCAAUGUGUGGCUACCAAUGAAGCUGGUUCUGACUCAAUAACAACUUGGCUCAAAGUGAAAACAUCUGCACCAAUAAUGGAACUGGCACCUCAGAAUGUGACCAUCCUGGACGGAAAGGACGCCAUCAUGAAUUGCCGCGUAGCUGGUGCUCCAACACCCAACAUCACAUGGAUCUAUGAAGACAAAGACACAGUGGACGUGACGGGCCGCAUCCAGUUGCUGGAAACGGGUGACCUGUUGAUUGCGGCUGUCAGGGAGACGGAUGGCGGCAAGUACGCUUGCGUGCGUGCCAACGAGGCGGGGCGGGUGGAGGGGGCGGGAUACCUGACUGUGUUGGUGAGGACGCAGAUCAUCCAGCCACCCGCCGACACCCGGGUGCUGCUGGGUAACACUGCCACUCUACAGUGCAAGGUGUCCAGUGACCCCACUGUGCCCUAUCAGGUCGACUGGUUCCACAAUACGCAACCUCUGGGCUUCGGCGGCCAACGAGUCAGCGUGAAGGGCGACGGUACGCUGGUGAUACAAGCUGUGCGUGCCGCGGAUGUGGGCGACUACGCAUGCGUGCUGACAUCGCCGGGCGGAAACGAGACGCGCACGGCCAAGCUGAGCGUGAUCGAACUACCAUUCGCGCCGACUGCGGUUCGAGCCGCGCGACUCGACGAAUCUAGUCGCGAGAUCAACCUGACCUGGGCGCCUGCGUUCGACGGAAACAGCGCCAUCUUGAAAUACAUUGUGCAGAGGCGGGAGGUGUCUGAUUUGGAGUUUACAGGGCCAAUCCCCGAUCAGCUGUCCAACUGGGUGACGGAGCUGAGCGACGUGGCGGCCGAAGCGAGGUCUAUCGUUCUCAGCAGCCUCAAGGCGGCGUCGGCCUAUCAGUUCCGUGUCAGUGCCGUCAACAGUGUCGGCGAAGGCACGCCUUCCGACCCCAGCAAUGUCAUACAACUGCCGCAGGAACCUCCAUCGGGCCCUCCAAUCGGUUUCGCUGGCUCCGCAAGAUCGUCGUCAGAAAUCAUCACUCAAUGGCAACCUCCCUUGGAAGAGCAUAGGAAUGGCCAGAUACUUGGCUACGUCAUACGUUAUCGGCUCUUUGGCUACAAUGACAGUCCUUGGACCACACAGAAAAUUGCUAACGAAGCACAGAAGAACUAUCUUAUCCAAGAGCUUAUUACCUGGAAGGACUAUGUACUACAGAUUGCCGCAUUCAAUAAAGAGGGUGUUGGAGUCUUCAGUGAUGGAAUAAAGAUAAAAACUAAGGAAGGAGUGCCAGAAGCAGCUCCUACUGGUGUGAGAGCAAUAUCAGUCAACUCGACUGCAGUGCAAGUUUGGUGGAAGCCUCCUCAUCCUCAGAAAAUAAACGGAAUCAACCAGGGAUACAAGCUGCAGGCUUAUAAAGGUAACAAAGUGGCCCGCCUGAUGACAGUGCCACCCAGCCUGUUCGACCCGCUGGCUCAGCAGAGCGCCUACAUGACCAAACUGGACAAGUUCACCGAGUACAACAUUACCGUGCUCUGCUUUACGGACCCGGGAGACGGCCUCCAGAGUGACAUGGUGUCCGUCCGCACCGAAGAGGACGUCCCAGACCAGGUGGCCAGUCUGCAGUUCGACGAAAUCUCCGACCGCGCCGUCAAAGUGGUCUGGACGCCACCCUUGCAAACCAACGGGGUUCUGUUAGGUUACACGUUGAUCUACAUGAUCAAAGACAAAACGGACACUAUCAAAUCGGAGAAUCUUACUGCUGAAACGUUAUCCUUGAAGGUGAACAACCUACAAGCUACGACUCAUUACAGGUUUGAAGUUAGCGCGUGGACUAGAAUCGGUACGGGUCCUUCACGUAUCGCGAUCAUUCAAUCGGGGGUUGAACCUGUGUUGCCACUUCCCCCCACAAAGCUAGCAGUGACUAACAUUGAGGCGUUCUCAGUUGUUUUACAGUUCACACCGGGUUUCGACGGGAAUUCGUCGAUAUCGAAGUGGACCGUUGAAGCGCAAACUAAACGAAACUCGACGUGGUUCACGAUUUUUGAAGAGUCAAACCCUGAAGCGACCACGUUAACUGUUGUGGGUUUAGUGCCGUUUACAAUGUACAGGUUACGGUUGGUGGCUUGUAAUGUGGUGGGACCCUCGCAACCUUCCGACCCCACCAAGGAGUUCCAAACUAUACAGGCGCCACCUUCACACCCUCCUCGUAAUGUAACUGUGCGCGCCAUGAGUGCUAAUGAGUUGAGAGUUAGGUGGAUUCCGUUACAAGCUUCAGACUGGUUCGGCAACCCUAGAGGCUACAAUAUCUCCUGUAAGGAAGUCAACGGUCGUGCGCAUAGUGUUACAAUCGAAGACUCCACGGCUAACUCCCACAUUCUCGAUAACUUAGAAGAGUUCGCCCAGUAUGAGAUAACUGUAACCGCUUUCAACGAUGUGGGAAGCUCUAGGCCGAGUCCGGUAGCUAUUGAAAGAACCAGGGAGUCUGUUCCGAGUUUUGGACCGAUGAACGUGGAAGCUAACGCGACCUCCUCCACUACGAUUCUAGUGAAAUGGGGAGACGUCCCUCAGGAACACCGUAACGGACAGAUUGAGGGGUUCAAAGUGUUCUACGGAAUGGGACCCCGCUCACCCCAUCCUGUGCAGGUCAAGGAUAUCCCAUCAAACACCACAUUCACAACUACGUUGACAGAGCUACGUAAAUAUGUAGUGUACAGUAUUCAAGUACUGGCCUACACAAGGCUGGGAGACGGUGCCCUAAGUUCACCACCAAUCAGAGUGCAGACUUUCGAAGAUGUUCCGGGGCCUCCGAGUAACGUAUCAUUUCCGGACGUAUCGUCGACGACAGCGCGUAUCAUCUGGGAUGUGCCCGACGAGCCUAAUGGUGAGAUUCUGGCCUACAGAGUCACCUACAGGCUGCAUGCGGUUGGCAGUAUGAACUUUUCAAGGGAAUUCCCUCCGUCAUCGAGAACUUAUAGAGCAAUGGACUUGGAAUCGGAGCAGUACUACCUGUUCUCGGUGACGGCGCAGGCGCGACUCGGCUGGGGCAAGACGGCCACCGCACUGGUCUACACCACCAACAACAGGGACACCCCCCAGCCGCCCUCUGUGCCCCAGCUGUCGCGCAGUCAGGUGCAGGCGCAUCACAUCACCUUCAGCUGGACCCCCGGCAGUGACGGAUAUGCUCCUCUCAGGUAUUACCAAGUGCAAUUAGCAGAAGGCCUAGGCCCGUGGCAGGCGAUCAGUGAGCGUGUGGACCCGCAGGUGACCUCCUACACAGCAACCGGCCUCAAGCCGUUCACCAGCUAUCGCUUCCGCAUCCAGGCCGUCAACGACAUUGGCCCUUCAGGCUGGAGCACUGAGUCGCCCAACGUCAGGACUCUGCCCGCUGCUCCUAGCAAACCUGUGUCUGGAGUCAAGGUUGUUCCGAUCACAACGACGAGCGUGCAAGUGUCGUGGGAACCGAUUGAGACGGAGUACUGGAGUGGUGACAAAUCCACUGGAGGCUAUCGCAUUGUUUUCCAGCCGGUUUCCGAUUUCCCAAUUUCUCUGCAAGCCACGCCUAAGCAAGAUGUUCAGGGCACUAAGACCAAUCAAGUGGUGCUGAACGACCUAACACGUGACCGUAACUACGAGAUAGUGGUGGUGCCGUUCAACUCUCAGGGCAGCGGCCCGACUAGUCGUCCGGUGGCCGUCUACGUGGGGGAGGCCGUGCCGACGGGGGAGCCACGUCACGUGCAGGGGGAACCCGUGUCCCCCACUGAGGUGCGUCUGCGCUGGGAGCCCCCCCAGCAGCAGCAGCAGAACGGUGAUUUACUCGGCUAUAAAAUCUUCUACCUAGCGACGGACCUCCCACAACAACUGGGCCCCGACGAGAAGGUAGAGGAGGAGCUGGAAGUAGUGCCGGCCACUUCGAGCUCUCACUCGCUGGUGUUCCUGGACAAGUACACGGGCUACCGCAUCCAGAUGCUGGCCUUCAACCCGGCCGGCGACGGGCCGCGGUCGGAGCCGAUCACGGUGAAGACAUUGCAGGGUCUGCCCGGGCCGCCGGUCGAGCUGCGGUUCACUGACAUCACCAUGACCAGUCUGCUUGUCAGCUGGGAUCCGCCCAAGAAGCGCAACGGAGAGCUGGUCGGAUAUAUCGUCACUUAUGAGACCGCUGAGCAGGAUGAGAAAUUUAGCAAACAAGUGAAACAGAAGGUGUCUGAAACGAGCCUGCUGAUCCAGACGCUGGAAGAGGAGGUGACAUACACAUUCACAGUGCGCGCGCAGACAGUGGACAGUGGCCCUCCGGUGAGAGGCAACGUGACGACGGGGCCGCAGGAGGGGUCACCCGCCACGCCCAAGGAGUUGGUGGUCGGCAAAACGGUGUCCAGUGUCGACCUGCACUGGCUCAACCGCGCAUCCGGCAAGGGACCCAUUCUCGGCUACUACAUUCAGUGCAAACGCAAAGUCAUGGAACAAUGGCAAGUUUGUAAGUUGAUCCACAUUCAUGCCUACUGCUUGGGAGUGCUUAAAGCAUGACACAAGAUGGACAACAGUAACGAAAACUAGUAACGGGCCGUUAGAAGAGUUCACAGUUUCCUAUCAGAACCUGCUUCCAUCGACAGCCUACAAUUUCCGGCUCAUAGCUUACAAUAAGUUCGGAAUCAGCUGUCCUGCCUACUCAGAAGAUGUGGUUCUAACACCAUCGAAGCUAUACCUGGAGUACGGCUACUUGCAGAUGAAGCCAUUCUACCGACAGACGUGGUUCGUGGUGGCUCUGGCAGCCGGAUCAAUCGUCGUCAUCAUUAUGGUGGUCGCCGUGCUCUGUGUCAAGAGCAAAAGCUACAAAUACAAACAAGAAGCGCAGAAAACGCUGGAAGAAUCGAUGGCAAUGGACAUAGACGACCGGCAGCAGCUGGCGAUGGAGUUGUACCGGUCGCGACACGGGGGUGGGGGCGGUGGAGGCGGAGGCGGCACCCUAGGCAAACGUAGCACGCUGUCCAGGAAGACCCUGCCGCCCCCAGGGCCACCCAUGAUGGGCAAGUCGCCGCCCCGGCCUAGUCCCGCCUCCGUCGCCUACCACAGCGACGAGGAGAGCCUCAAGGGCUAUGAUGAGAAUCCGGAUGACUCCAGUGUCACCGAGAAGCCCAGUGAGAUUAGCUCCUCCGAUUCACAGGUCA
rnacentral:misc_RNA from 1 species